UUAUUAUUAUUAUUAUUAUUAUUAUUAUUGUAAAGCAUUCAUUUGGCCAACUAAAUUUCAAGUUUUUCUUUUGAAUAUGAAUAACAGCUUAACGCAAGUGAUGUUUGAUGCUGUGGUCUUGUUAUGUCUCACUGCUCAGCUACACUAAAGAGAAAAGAUACACAAAGAUUCAGAGGAACUUUAACUGUGGAUAGAUCUUCGUUAGUAGUGAAGUUGUCAGCCCGAAGCUUUUGGUUUGUUAACACGUGUACUGUUUUGGCUUUUAAAGUUUUACUAGGUAAUGAGGAACUUUAUUGGCUUGCUUGCUUUCUAAGUUGGUUAGUGUUACAUUAAGUUCAGUACUGGAAAUGAGAAUAAACUGGGAGGUAAUGUAACUGCGCUUCAGUGUAUGCCGUGCUCUGCGUUGUGCGGUACUGUCCCAGCAGCAGAAUAAACCCAUUUCCAGAUUGA